rnacentral:piRNA from 1 species
GUAACCAGUAUAUUAUAUCCAGCCAUCAC